GACUUUGAUUAUGGCUCAGGAUGAACGCUAUCUACAGGCUUAACACAUGCAAGUCGAGGGGAAACGACAUCGAAAGCUUGCUUUUGAUGGGCGUCGACCGGCGCACGGGUGAGUAACGCGUAUCCAACCUGCCCAUCACUUGGGGAUAACCUUGCGAAAGUAAGACUAAUACCCAAUGACGUCUCUAGAGGACAUCUGAAAGAGAUUAAAGAUUUAUCGGUGAUGGAUGGGGAUGCGUCUGAUUAGCUUGUUGGCGGGGUAACGGCCCACCAAGGCUACGAUCAGUAGGGGUUCUGAGAGGAAGGUCCCCCACAUUGGAACUGAGACACGGUCCAAACUCCUACGGGAGGCAGCAGUGAGGAAUAUUGGUCAAUGGACGAGAGUCUGAACCAGCCAAGUAGCGUGCAGAAUGACGGCCCUAUGGGUUGUAAACUGCUUUUAUAAGGGAAUAAAGUGAGCCUCGUGAGGCUUUUUGCAUGUACCUUAUGAAUAAGGACCGGCUAAUUC
rnacentral:rRNA from 1 species